GCGUCGCGGGGAAGCAACAACUUCGCUUUCCUCACCCUUGACGCCAUUGCUCAGCUUCUCCUCUUCAGACUCUACGGAGUUUAUAUAUAAAGAGAGAAAUACGGGAAUCAUUUGCUGUAAUUUACAGAAUCAUCAGAGUAUUUCUUGAAUCACUACAUUCCCUUCUUCUUUUUCUUCAUCAUCAUCUUCUUCUUCUUCUGCAAAGGCGGAUAAAAAACCCUAAAGGAUUUCAAGAAAUCUUGAAGAUUUGGGAAUUGCUGAGAUUUGAUCGAUGUUAGGCGAGUUUGUAACCAGAGUUCUAGUAUUGGUGCUUGGAUAUGCAUACCCUGGAUUUGAAUGCUUCAAGCUUAUGGAGAGCAGCAGGAUUGAUGUAGAGCAGCUCUUGUUUUGGUGCCAAUACUGGUAAUUCAUCUUCUCACCUUGAUUUGACUUUUACGAAUCU